UACAGAGGGGGCAAGCGUUGUUCGGAAUUAUUGGGCGUAAAGGGUGCGUAGGUGGCAAAGUAAGUUGGAUGUGAAAUCCUAGGGCUCAACCUCAGAAUUGCAUUCAAUACUGCUUAGCUAGAGAGCUGUAGAGGAGACUGGAAUUUACGGUGUAGCAGUGAAAUGCGUAGAUAUCGUAAGGAACGCCAGUGGCGAAAGCGAGUCUCUGGGCAGCAUCUGACACUGAGGCACGAAGGCCAGGGGAGCAAACGGG
rnacentral:rRNA from 1 species